GCAACUUAAAAUAUUUUUUUUCCAAACACUUCAGUAUCCAGUGGCUAUAAGGUUCCCUCUGAGAUGUUAAGGUUUUCCAGUCUCCCUCCACUGCUUCAUGUACACCGUGCACGUGUCUUACUGAUACUUGGCCUGGUGAUUAAGUUAAUAGUUUAGAGAUGAUCCAUUUAAAAAUAAGGUCAGGUAUCAGGUAUAGCAGAACAACAACAAGUACAGAUACAUUGUAUUACAUGCUACCUUACGUUUUAACCUGAUUCCCAACAGCAUAUGUUCUCUUCAACGUGACUACAAGACACGUG